AGAGCCAUCCUUCCUAGUCAGAUCCAUUUGGAGUCAGAGACCCUUCUGAGGGCAGAGGAAGUAAAACUCCAGCCGGGUGGAUAAUCACUCAGCAGUGUAAGGUGUUGCCUUCCUUGAGGCUGUUGGCCCAGGCUGCGGGAUGGCAGCCUGCUCUGCCUUGGCGCUGUCCAGUGAUACCAGCUUUUUUGGUUGAGAAGCUCUUUCUAUCAAGUGGUUUGUUUCCCUGCCUGACAGCUGCAGACAUCCCUCACGUGUAGAUUCUAUAAGAAGACCCGGACGUAGAGUAGCAUUGGAGAUAGGAGUGUGUGGGAGUGUGUGCUGGAGGGAGGUAGGAAGGAGAAAGCUCCAGUGUUCUGCACCACGGGGGUGGGGGUGGGGGUGGCUACAGCUCACAAGAACCAUCUAGUUUAUGAAUAACUGGAAGGGAGAAGCUUAAAGGCUACAAAUACAAGGUGACGCUAAACCAGGUUG
rnacentral:lncRNA from 1 species